GACGAACGCUGGCGGCGUGCUUAACACAUGCAAGUCGAACGGAAAGGCCCUGCUUUUGUGGGGUGCUCGAGUGGCGAACGGGUGAGUAACGCGUGAGUAACCUGCCCUUGACUUUGGGAUAACUUCAGGAAACUGGGGCUAAUACCGGAUAGGAGCUCCUGCUGCAUGGUGGGGGUUGGAAAGUUUCGGCGGUUGGGGAUGGACUCGCGGCUUAUCAGCUUGUUGGUGGGGUAGUGGCUUACCAAGGCUUUGACGGGUAGCCGGCCUGAGAGGGUGACCGGCCACAUUGGGACUGAGAUACGGCCCAGACUCCUACGGGAGGCAGGAGUGGGGAAUAUUGCACAAUGGGCGGAAGCCUGAUGCAGCAACGCCGCGUGCGGGAUGACGGCCUUCGGGUUGUAAACCGCUUUCGCCUGUGACGAAGCGUGAGUGACGGUAAUGGGUAAAGAAGCACCGGCUAACUACGUG
rnacentral:rRNA from 1 species